CUAAACUUGGGUCAGGGUCCUUGCUAAUUUCUGAAUUCUGCAUUAUUUACAAACAGCAGUUUCUUUCUGUGUUGAAGUCUUGAAGAGGUCUCUCUCUCUCUCUCUCUCUCUCUCUCUCUCUCUCAUUGCACAGUAGUUGAUUAUUAGAAGACUAAUUUGUGUAUUCGCUCAGAAAUUUUUGGUCUAAUCUCUUCAACUUUUUGCUUGGAGAUCAGGGGAUAGGCAGAGGAUAAGGACUAAAAAUUGGAGACAGCCAUAUCCUGAGUCACUGUCUUAACUUGUUUAAACAAUUGACUAGAGUCUCUCACUCAUUCUCCAACCGGAUCUACAACACAUUUCACUGUGUGGUGUGCAGCCACGCACAGAAAUCAUUGCUGGGUUGCUCAGAAAUAAAUAUCAGAUAAUAAAG